rnacentral:ncRNA from 1 species
ACCCAAGAUGGCGGUGGGGCUCGCCAUAACCGCGCGUCGAUUAUCGACGGCCAACGGUCCCUGCGGAACA